rnacentral:rRNA from 1 species
CUACCUUAGUGCACAUUAGUUGGGACUCUAGAGGACUGCCAGUGAUAAGCUGGAGGAAGGCGGGGAUGACGUCAAGUCCUCAUGGCCCUUAUGUGUUGGGCUACACACGUGCUACAAUGGUACUUACAACGGGAAGCAAAGAUGCGAGUCUAAGCUAAUCCUGAAAAUGUACCUCAGUUCGGAUUGCACUCUGCAACUCGAGUGCAUGAAGCUGGAAUUACUAGUAAUCGUGGAUCAGCGUGCCACGGUGAAUGCGUUC